rnacentral:rRNA from 1 species
CUCGUAGGCGGUUUGUCACGUCGUCUGUGAAAUCCCUCGGCUUAACCGGGGGCGUGCAGGCGAUACGGGCAGACUUGAGUACUACAGGGGAGACUGGAAUUCCUGGUGUAGCGGUGAAAUGCGCAGAUAUCAGGAGGAACACCGGUGGCGAAGGCGGGUCUCUGGGUAGUAACUGACGCUGAGGAGCGAAAGCAUGGGUAGCGAACAGGAUUAGAUACCCUGGUAGUCCAUGCCGUAAACGGUGGGCGCUAGGUGUGGGGUCCUUCCACGGACUCCGUGCCGUAGCUAACGCAUUAAGCGCCCCGCCUGGGGAGUACGGCCGCAAGGCUAAAACUCAAAGGAAUUGACGGGGGCCCGCACAAGCGGCGGAGCAUGUGGAUUAAUUCGAUGCAACGCGAAGAACCUUACCUAGGCUUGACAUAUACAGGACGACGGCAGAAAUGUCGUUUCCCUUGUGGCUUGUAUACAGGUGGUGCAUGGUUGUCGUCAGCUCGUGUCGUGGAGAUGUUGGGUUAAGUCCCGCAACGAGCGCAACACCUGUCUCAUGUUGCCAGCACGUAAUGGUGGGGACUCGUGAGAGACUGCCGGGGUCAACUCGGAGGAAGGUGGGGAUGACGUCAAAUCAUCAUGCCCCUUAUGUCUAGGGCUUCACACAUGCUACAAUGGCUAGUACAGAGGGCUGCGAUACCACGAGGUGGAGCGAAUCCCUUAAAGCUGGUCUCAGUUCGGAUUGGGGUCUGCAACUCGACCCCAUGAAGUCGGAGUC